rnacentral:rRNA from 1 species
GAUGAACGCUAGCGGCAGGCCUAAUACAUGCAAGUCGAACGGCAGCACGAACUUCGGUUUGGUGGCGAGUGGCGCACGGGUGCGUAACGCGUAUGCAACCUACCCUUAACUGGGGGAUAGCCCGGAGAAAUUCGGAUUAAUACCCCAUAGUAUCACAAGAAGGCAUCUGAACGUGAUUAAAGAUUUAUUGGUUAAGGAUGGGCAUGCGUGACAUUAGUUAGUUGGUGAGGUAACGGCUCACCAAGACAAUGAUGUCUAGGGGUUCUGAGAGGACGAUCCCCCACACUGGUACUGAGAUACGGACCAGACUCCUACGGGAGGCGGCAGUAGGGAAUAUUGGUCAAUGGGCGAGAGCCUGAACCAGCCAUGCCGCGUGCAGAAAGACGGCCUUCUGGGUUGUAAACUGCUUUUAUCAGGGAACAAAAAGGCCAUGCGUGGCAAACUGUGUGUACCUGAAGAAUAAGCACCGGCUAACUCCGUGCCAGCAGCCGCGGUAAUACGGAGGGUGCAAGCGUUGUCCGGAUUUAUUGGGUUUAAAGGGUGCGUAGGCGGUCGAUUAAAUCAUUGGUGAAAUCCUACAGCUCAACUGUAGAACUGCCAUUGAUACUGGU